rnacentral:lncRNA from 1 species
GAAUGCUAAAAUUGCCAAGAAGAAGACUGCCAAUUUACACACCAUUUUAUACAGUUACAGUAUGAUAUGGAGAACAAAAUGCCUCAAUGCAGCCAGUUCUGGAGCUUUGGCUAGACUAUGAACAGUAGACAUCAAAAGAUGAUCAUCUGAAGGGCCACAAUUGUUUAAAGCCCUGGUCAACAAAAACUUAACUAUUUGAUGGAUCAUACAUCUGCAGAAUGUACUACCAUAUUUCCAGAAUCAGAGAAAUAGAAAUAUCAAGUAUUAGAGAGAAAGAAAAGUAUGCAUCAUGUAUGAAGAACUGCCUAAGAAUAAU